UGGGGAAUAUUGGACAAUGGGCGAAAGCCUGAUCCAGCCAUGCCGCGUGUGUGAAGAAGGUCUUCGGAUUGUAAAGCACUUUAAGUUGGGAGGAAGGGCAGCUACCUAAUACGUGAUUGCUUUGACGUUACCGACAGAAUAAGCACCGGCUAACUUUGUC
rnacentral:rRNA from 1 species